rnacentral:rRNA from 1 species
GACGAACGCUGGCGGCGUGCUUAACACAUGCAAGUCGAGCGGAGCGGCGAACGGGUGAGUAACGCGUGAGUAACUGCCCCCCUCUCUGGGAUAACAGUUGGAAACGGCUGCUAAUACCGGAUAGUGGGGGAUGACUCGCGUCCUAUCGGCUUGUUGGUGGGGUAGUGGCCUACCAAGGCGACGACGGGUAGCCGGCCUGGGAGGGCGACCGGCCACAUGGGGCUGAGAUACGGACCAGAGGCGUACGGGGGGCAGCAGGGGGGAAUAUUGCACAGGGGGGGAACCCCUGUUGAAGAAACGCCGCGUGCGGAAAGACGGCCUUCGGGUUGUGAACCGCUUGCAGCCAUGACGCGGUAGUGGCAGAAGAAGCACCGGCUAACUACGUGCCAGCAGCCGCGGUAAUUC